UGGAUAGAACUUUUCCUUGGUUUGCGAAUGAGUGCAGGAAUGUUAGACUAGGGUGGGAAUUUUUAUUUGGAUACCAGGGAAAGUUCAAGCAUUCUCUUCGGGAGUGGAGACAUGAGAUAAAGAAGAAAUGCUUUGAUUGUUUCACUCACAACUGGGAGAGGAUAUACAAGCGAGAUAAGAGGGUUGAGCCUGAGCACUUAGCUGCACUUAUAAUAUUGUGGGGCCAAGAGGAGCACCAGGAAAAAUGUAGGAGAAAUAAACUUAAUCGAUGGAAAAAAGAUU